rnacentral:rRNA from 1 species
GAACGAGGCUGAUCCGGUAGCAUACCGGUGACUGCCUAGUGGCGAACGGGUGCGUAACACGUGAGCAACCUGCCCCGAAGACUGGGAUAACGCCGGGAAACCGGUGCUAAUACCAGAUGCCCCCUCGGGUCCACAUGGACCUGCGAGGAAAGGAAUCCGCUUCGGGAGGGGCUCGCGGCCUAUCAGCUUGUUGGUGGGGUAACGGCCCACCAAGGCUACGACGGGUAGCUGGUCUGAGAGGACGAUCAGCCACACUGGGACUGAGACACGGCCCAGACUCCUACGGGAGGCAGCAGUGGGGAAUCUUGCGCAAUGGGCGAAAGCCUGACGCAGCAACGCCGCGUGGGGGAUGAAGGCCCUCNGGGUUGUAAACCCCUUUCAGCAGGAACGAAUCUGACGGUACCUGCAGAAGAAGCCCCGGCCAACUACGUG